rnacentral:tRNA from 1 species
GAAUAGAAAGCGAAAAAUUGCAUUCAGUUUCGACCUGACAAUUGGUAAAUUACCUCUAUUCU